rnacentral:rRNA from 1 species
UACGAAGGGGGCUAGCGUUGCUCGGAAUCACUGGGCGUAAAGCGCACGUAGGCGGCUUUUUAAGUCAGGGGUGAAAUCCUGGAGCUCAACUCCAGAACUGCCUUUGAUACUGGGAAGCUCGAGUCCGGGAGAGGUGAGUGGAACUCCGAGUGUAGAGGUGAAAUUCGUAGAUAUUCGGAAGAACACCGGUGGCGAAGGCGGCAUCCUGGACCGGUAUUGACGCUGAUGCGCGAAAGCGUGGGGAGCAAACAGG